rnacentral:rRNA from 1 species
AACGAACGCUGGCGGCAGGCUUAACACAUGCAAGUCGAACGGAUCCUUCGGGAUUAGUGGCAGACGGGUGAGUAACGCGUGGGAACGUACCCUUUGCUACGGAAUAACUCAGGGAAACUUGAGCUAAUACCGUAUGUGCCCUACGGGGGAAAGAUUUAUCGGCAAAGGAUCGGCCCGCGUUGGAUUAGCUAGUUGGUGGGGUAAUGGCCUACCAAGGCGACGAUCCAUAGCUGGUCUGAGAGGAUGAUCAGCCACACUGGGACUGAGACACGGCCCAGACUCCUACGGGAGGCAGCAGUGGGGAAUAUUGGACAAUGGGCGCAAGCCUGAUCCAGCCAUGCCGCGUGAGUGAUGAAGGUCUUAGGAUUGUAAAGCUCCUUCACCGGUGAAGAUAAUGACGGUAGCCGGAGAAGAAGCCCCGGCUAACUUCGUG